AGGAGGGAUAUUAAGAGGAGAAACUCCUGGUCCUUAUGUGAACCGUUCCUUUAGUUGAUUAGGCGGGAACGCCCCGGCGCCCUGCGCCCGGAUCCAGGCGCCCGCCGGAGACCCCAAACUCUUGUGUUUUUUUCAGUAUUCUCUGAGUGGCAAACGCAAAAAUAAAUCAAAACUUUUAACAACGGAUCUCUUGGCUCUGGCAUCGAUGAAGAACGCAGCGAAAUGCGAUAAGUAAUGUGAAUUGCAGAAUUCAGUGAAUCAUCGAAUCUUUGAACGCACAUUGCGCCCGUUAGCAUUCUAGCGGGCAUGCCUGUCCGAGCGUCAUUUCAACCCUCAGGGUCCCCGUUCCGGCGGGGAACCUGGUGUUGGGGAUCGGCCCGCCCCGUGCGGCGCCGUCCCCCAAAUUCAGUGGCGGUCUCGCUGCAGCCUCCCCUGCGUAGUAGUUACAACCUCGCAUCGGAGCUCAGCGCGGCCACGCCGUAAAACCCCCGACUUUCUGAACGUUGACCUCGGAUCAGGUAGGAAUACCCGCUGAACUUAAGCAUAUCAAUAAGCGGAGGA
rnacentral:rRNA from 1 species